rnacentral:rRNA from 78 species
GUCUUCGAGUCGUUGAUUUCACACUGCCGAGAAAAGCCUCUAGAUAGAAAAUAGGUGCCCGUACCGCAAACCGACACAGGUAGUCAAGAUGAGAAUUCUAAGGUGAGCGAGCGAACUCUCGUUAAGGAACUCGGCAAAAUGACCCCGUAACUUCGGGAGAAGGGGUGCUCUUUAGGGUUAACGCCCAGAAGAGCCGCAGUGAAUAGGCCCAAGCGACUGUUUAUCAAAAACACAGGUCUCUGCUAAACCGUAAGGUGAUGUAUAGGGGCUGACGCCUGCCCGGUGCUGGAAGGUUAAGAGGAGUGGUUAGCUUCUGCGAAGCUACGAAUCGAAGCCCCAGUAAACGGCGGCCGUAACUAUAACGGUCCUAAGGUAGCGAAAUUCCUUGUCGGGUAAGUUCCGACCCGCACGAAAGGCGUAACGAUUUGGGCACUGUCUCAACGAGAGACUCGGUGAAAUCAUAGUACCUGUGAAGAUGCAGGUUACCCGCGACAGGACGGAAAGACCCCGUGGAGCUUUACUGUAGCCUGAUAUUGAAAUUCGGCACAGCUUGUACAGGAUAGGUAGGAGCCUUUGAAACGUGAGCGCUAGCUUACGUGGAGGCGCUGGUGGGAUACUACCCUAGCUGUGUUGGCUUUCUAACCCGCACCACUUAUCGUGGUGGGAGACAGUGUCAGGCGGGCAGUUUGACUGGGGCGGUCGCCUCCUAAAAGGUAACGGAGGCGCUCAAAGGUUCCCUCAGAAUGGUUGGAAAUCAUUCAUAGAGUGUAAAGGCAUAAGGGAGCUUGACUGCGAGACCUACAAGUCGAGCAGGGUCGAAAGACGGACUUAGUGAUCCGGUGGUUCCGCAUGGAAGGGCCAUCGCUCAACGGAUAAAAGCUACCCCGGGGAUAACAGGCUUAUCUCCCCCAAGAGUUCACAUCGACGGGGAGGUUUGGCACCUCGAUGUCGGCUCAUCGCAUCCUGGGGCUGUAGUCGGUCCCAAGGGUUGGGCUGUUCGCCCAUUAAAGCGGUACGCGAGCUGGGUUCAGAACGUCGUGAGACAGUUCGGUCCCUAUCCGUCGUGGGCGUAGGAAAUUUGAGAGGAGCUGUCCUUAGUACGAGAGGACCGGGAUGGACAUACCUCUGGUGUACCAGUUGUCGUGCCAACGGCAUAGCUGGGUAGCUAUGUGUGGACGGGAUAAGUGCUGAAAGCAUCUAAGCAUGAAGCCCCCCUCAAGAUGAGAUUUCCCAACUUCGGUUAUAAGAUCCCUCAAAGAUGAUGAGGUUAAUAGGUUCGAGGUGGAAGCAUGGUGACAUGUGGAGCUGACGAAUACUAAUCGAUCGAAGACUUAAUC